AGCCUUUUUUUGUUCAUAAACAUUAUAAUUAAGUAUUCAAAUCAUUGUGUGACACAAACCUCCCUCAAGCCUUAAAAUGUGUGGUACAUUACCAACUUGACA